UGAAUUGUAGCUUAAUUAGAAGCAUCUCGGUUACGUUGAGAAGAUCACUGAAUUGCAGUGUAGUUCAAAUA
rnacentral:tRNA from 1 species